UACGGAGGGUGCAAACGUUGCUCGGAAUUAUUGGGCGUAAGGCGUACGUAGGCGGUCCAGCAAGUCGGGUGUGAAAGCCCUCGGCUUAACCGAGGAAGUGCAUUCGAAACUACAGGACUUGAAUACUGGAGAGGAUUGCGGAAUUCCCGGUGUAGAGGUGAAAUUCGUAGAUAUCGGGAGGAACACCAGUGGCGAAGGCGGCAAUCUGGACAGAUAUUGACGCUGAUGUACGAAAGCGUGGGGAGCAAACAGG
rnacentral:rRNA from 1 species